GACGAACGCUGGCGGCGUGCUUAACACAUGCAAGUCGAACGGAAAGGCCCUGCUUUUGUGGGGUGCUCGAGUGGCGAACGGGUGAGUAACACGUGAGUAACCUGCCCUUGACUUUGGGAUAACUUCAGGAAACUGGGGCUAAUACCGGAUAGGAGCUCCUGCUGCAUGGUGGGGGUUGGAAAGUUUCGGCGGUUGGGGAUGGACUCGCGGCUUAUCAGCUUGUUGGUGGGGUAGUGGCUUACCAAGGGUUUGACGGGUAGCCGGCCUGGGAGGGUGACCGGCCACAUUGGGACUGCGAUACGGCCCAGACUCCUACGGGAGGCAGCAGUGGGGAAUAUUGCACAAUGGGCGGAAGCCUGAUGCGGCAACGCCGCGUGCGGGAUGACGGCCUUCGGGUUGUAAACCGCUUUCGCCUGUGACGAAGCGUGAGUGACGGUAAUGGGUAAAGAAGCACCGGCUAACUACGUG
rnacentral:rRNA from 1 species